rnacentral:rRNA from 1 species
ACCUCAAAUCGGGUGAGACUACCCGCUGAACUUAAGCAUAUCAAUAAGCGGAAGAA